rnacentral:rRNA from 1 species
GUUGUUCGGAUUUACUGGGCGUAAAGGGUGCSYARGCGGCCAGACAAGUUGGAUGUGAAAGCCCUGGGCUCAACCCAGGAAUAGCAUUCAAAACUGUCAGGCUCGAGUGUGGAAGAGGAUGGUGGAAUUUCCAGUGUAGAGGUGAAAUUCGUAGAUAUUGGAAAGAACACCCGUGGCGAAGGCGGCCAUCUGGUCCACAACUGACGCUGAGGCACGAAAGCGUGGGGAGCAAACAGGAUUAGAUACCCUGGUAGUCCACGCUGUAAACGAUGAAUGCUAAACGUUGGGAUGUUUACAUCUCAGUGUUGACGCUAACGCAUGAAGCAUUCCGCCUGGGGAGUACGGCCGCAAGGUUA